CCUACGGGAGGCUGCAGUGGGGAAUCUUGGUCAAUGGACGAAAGUCUGAACCAGCCACGUAGCGUGAAGGAUGACUGCCCUAUGGGUUGUAAACUUCUUUUAUAUGGGACUAAAAUGUUCCACGUGUAGGAUUUUGUAUGUACCAUAUGAAUAAGGAUCGGCUAACUCCGUGCCAGCAGCCGCGGUAAUACGGAGGAUCCGAGCGUUAUCCGGAUUUAUUGGUCUUAAAGGGAGCGUAGGUGGAUUGUUAAGUCAGUUGUGAAAGUUUGCGGCUCAACCGUAAGAUUGCAGUUGAAACUGGCAGUCUUGAGUACAGUAGAGGUGGGCGGAAUUCGUGGUGUAGCGGUGAAAUGCUUAGAUAUCACGAAGAACUCCGAUGGCGAAGGCAGUUCACUGGACUGCAACUGACACUGAGGCGCGAAAGUGUGGGUAGCAAACAGGAUUAGAUACCCCUGUAGUC
rnacentral:rRNA from 1 species